GCCCCCACCUUGGCGUCUCUUCCCCAGAUGGUGCUAAGGAAGCAAUUGUUUCUUUAGUGGUUCCAGCUGAUUCCCUCCCUGCCAGUACCUGGAUUUCCUGUUGGGCUGGAUUUUUAGUGGGGGAGAAUUUUUCUCAGUUCCUCAAGUAAGGGUUUUAAACUCCAUAUUCAAUGAGAGGGCUGUGGAAUUUGGCUUCUUUACAAGAACUAAUCAAUGUAAAGUGGGGGCUACACUGCACCUGAUUUUCCCGGAGACCCCCACAGGAAUGGGAAAGAUCAUUUCUUCUUCUUGGGGGUAUGGAGCAUUCAAAACCCAUUUUAGAAUGUUGAUUUAGUCCUUCCAGAUGACUUCUUUGCAGAACACCUUCCUGAUAGGGAUCAUUCAAACUCCACUGGAGAUAGCACGAUGUGGGCGGGAAGCAGACCGCCUUGGCAGCCAAACUCAUGUGGACUCAGAUGUUAGCUCCAUCUUUACUGACUGGGUGACCUCGGGAAAGCCAGCCUCAGUUUCCCUCUCAGCCAACUGAGGUUCUCGGCCUUUACUCUCCUCUCUCCAACAAAAAAAGAGUUGGGAACAUUCCAAAAGUUGCCAUCCUGGUGCCACAGAGCAUCCCCCAUGAAGUGGCGCUGAAAGAUCACGUUAGCACAGUUCCAUGAUGUGAAAUACCACAAGUCUGCAAUUUUUCGGUCUUGAGAGCAUCGCUGGGUUGAGAGGAUGGAAAUCUUUCAGUAAUUAUACCAGUUUGUAUUCGUCUCACAUUUGGGACCAAAUACAAAUCCGAUCCACUCUUUCUCACUGUGAAUAUUCAUAAAAAACAAAGUGCCAAUUCUGGGCUAAUCAUGUAUGGAACCAAACAUGUUGGUGAGUCCUAAGUAUAUACUGUAUGUAUGUAUACAUGUGAAUAUAUAUAUUUAUAUACUCUAAAUUUGCUUGUGUCCUCCUCUGUGCAAUUUGUUUGUUUAGUAUAGGGGUUGCUGUUAUAAUGUGUUAAUAAGCUGCUGAAAGCUUGGCACCUAUUACUUGAAAUGACAGCUAUGUUAGAAGCCUAUUAACACUCAUAGCAGCAGCUCUGCAGCUACUAGAAAUGAAUUUCAAAGAAGGUAAAUGAACAAAAGCAAUUUAUAUCUCCAAGGAAAGCAAAUACCAUGCCCAGAACCAUAUAUAUACUUUGGAAAUGUACAGUAUAUAAAAUGAAAAAAAAAAAAAAACAAACAAACCUCUUCCAGUUAAAGAAACAGCGGAAGAGAACUUUGGCGAAAGGAAAACUGCCUAAAAGAUUUCCAAACAACCUUGAAGACAUAAAUGUUAAAGAUAACUUCCUCUCUUUGUUUCUAUUGUAUUUAAAUUAGAACCUUGUCAAACUUAGUUAUAGGAAUAGAACAGGACAGGUAGAGGAAAUUCACUUUUCUUUCAGUGAGAAAAAUUUAAAUCAUCUGGAUUUAGCCCAAACUUUUUCUUAGUCUCUGAACUUAGAAGGACACCAUUUGCUAUUGUUCUCUGAGGCAGGGCACUUUAUGAGUCAGUUCACCCUGUCUUUGAACUAUUUUAAUUACUUUUGACUGUCUCUGAAAUUUUACAAAACGGCUAAAAGUCCUGGGUAAACCUUAGCUAUGAUAAAAAAAAAAUGGUAAUUUAGAUUGGGAGUAGUUUUUUGUUUUUGUUUUUUUUCAAUGAUAUAGGCUGUGUG